CGUCUGCUUACUGAUGGCCGCCUGGGUGCUGAUGUGCUGUUUCCUCUGUCUUUGCUGCCAAGUGUCCGGAUCGCUGGAGUGAGUGGGAGAGGCGGAAGGGCAGAGGGGGAAAUAGGACAGUGGCAUCGGCACAAAAGGCAGGUGACUUGGAGAAGGCCAUCCGGGGACUCGGCUGUCACCUGGCUCCCUACUGUCCGGCUCCCAGCAACAGAGCCUCAGAGAGCGGUCCUAUGGCAGGGGUCCGGAGAGGUGGCCUGGGCCGCGUCUCCCGGCCCCAGCCCCGUUGUGUGAAAUACAGGCUGUCUGUGUUGA